AAACCAACAGGGAUUGCCUUAGUAGCGGCGAGUGAAGCGGCAAAAGCUCAAAUUUGAAAUCUAGUACUUUCAGUGCUCGAGUUGUAAUUUGAAGAAGGUAUCUUUGGACCUGGCUCUUGUCUAUGUUCCUUGGAACAGGACGUCACAGAGGGUGAGAAUCCCGUGCGAUGAGAUGCUCCAGGUCUAUGUAAAGUUCCUUCGAAGAGUCGAGUUGUUUGGGAAUGCAGCUCUAAGUGGGUGGUAAAUUCCAUCUAAAGCUAAAUAUUGGCGAGAGACCGAUAGCGAACAAGUACAGUGAUGGAAAGAUGAAAAGAACUUUGAAAAGAGAGUGAAAAAGUACGUGAAAUUGUUGAAAGGGAAGGGCUUGAGAUCAGACUUGAUAUUUUGUAUGUUAUUCUUUCGGGGGUAGCCUCUACAGUUUAUCGGGCCAGCAUCGGUUUGAACGGUAGGAUAAUGGUAAAGAAAUGUGGCAUCACUUGUGAUGUGUUAUAGUCUUUAUUGAUACUGCCAGUUUAGACCGAGGACUGCGAUUUUUAAUCUAGGAUGUUGGCAUAAUGAUCUUAAGUCGC
rnacentral:rRNA from 2 species